rnacentral:rRNA from 1 species
GGACGAACGCUGGCGGCGUGCCUAAUACAUGCAAGUAGAACGCUGAAGAGAGGAGCUUGCUCUUCUUGGAUGAGUUGCGAACGGGUGAGUAACGCGUAGGUAACCUGCCUUGUAGCGGGGGAUAACUAUUGGAAACGAUAGCUAAUACCGCAUAACAAUGGAUGACACAUGUCAUUUAUUUGAAAGGGGCAAUUGCUCCACUACAAGAUGGACCUGCGUUGUAUUAGCUAGUAGGUGAGGUAAUGGCUCACCUAGGCGACGAUACAUAGCCGACCUGAGAGGGUGAUCGGCCACACUGGGACUGAGACACGGCCCAGACUCCUACGGGAGGCAGCAGUAGGGAAUCUUCGGCAAUGGGGGCAACCCUGACCGAGCAACGCCGCGUGAGUGAAGAAGGUUUUCGGAUCGUAAAGCUCUGUUGUAAGUCAAGAACGGGUGUGAGAGUGGAAAGUUCACACUGUGACGGUAGCUUACCAGAAAGGGACGGCUAACUACGUGCCAGCAGCCGCGGUAAUACGUAGGUCCCGAGCGUUGUCCGGAUUUAUUGGGCGUAAAGCGAGCGCAGGCGGUUUGAUAAGUCUGAAGUUAAAGGCUGUGGCUCAACCAUAGUUCGCUUUGGAAACUGUCAAACUUGAGUGCAGAAGGGGAGAGUGGAAUUCCAUGUGUAGCGGUGAAAUGCGUAGAUAUAUGGAGGAACACCGGUGGCGAAAGCGGCUCUCUGGUCUGUAACUGACGCUGAGGCUCGAAAGCGUGGGGAGCGAACAGGAUUAGAUACCCUGGUAGUCCACGCCGUAAACGAUGAGUGCUAGGUGUUGGAUCCUUUCCGGGAUUCAGUGCCGCAGCUAACGCAUUAAGCACUCCGCCUGGGGAGUACGACCGCAAGGUUGAAACUCAAAGGAAUUGACGGGGGCCCGCACAAGCGGUGGAGCAUGUGGUUUAAUUCGAAGCAACGCGAAGAACCUUACCAGGUCUUGACAUCCCGAUGCUAUUUCUAGAGAUAGAAAGUUACUUCGGUACAUCGGUGACAGGUGGUGCAUGGUUGUCGUCAGCUCGUGUCGUGAGAUGUUGGGUUAAGUCCCGCAACGAGCGCAACCCCUAUUGUUAGUUGCCAUCAUUCAGUUGGGCACUCUAGCGAGACUGCCGGUAAUAAACCGGAGGAAGGUGGGGAUGACGUCAAAUCAUCAUGCCCCUUAUGACCUGGGCUACACACGUGCUACAAUGGUUGGUACAACGAGUUGCGAGUCGGUGACGGCGAGCUAAUCUCUUAAAGCCAAUCUCAGUUCGGAUUGUAGGCUGCAACUCGCCUACAUGAAGUCGGAAUCGCUAGUAAUCGCGGAUCAGCACGCCGCGGUGAAUACGUUCCCGGGCCUUGUACACACCGCCCGUCACACCACGAGAGUUUGUAACACCCGAAGUCGGUGAGGUAACCUUUUGGAGCCAGCCGCCUAAGGUGGGACAGAUGA